AACGAACGCUGGCGGCAUGCCUAACACAUGCAAGUCGAACGAGACCUUCGGGUCUAGUGGCGCACGGGUGCGUAACGCGUGGGAACCUGCCCUUAGGUUCGGAAUAACUCCCCGAAAGGGGUGCCAAUACCGGAUAAUGUCUUCGGACCAAAGAUUUAUCGCCUUUGGAUGGGCCCGCGUUGGAUUAGCUAGUUGGUAGGGUAAAAGCCUACCAAGGCAACGAUCCAUAGCUGGUCUGAGAGGAUGAUCAGCCACACUGGGACUGAGACACGGCCCAGACUGAUGCGGGAGGAAGGAGUGGGGAAUGGUGGAGAAGGGGCGAAGGCUUGAACCAGCAUUGGGGCGGGAAUGAUGAAGGCCGUAGGGGUGAAAGGCUCUUUAACACGGGAGGAUAAUACAAGAACCGGAGGAAAAAGCGCCGGCUAACUCGGUG
rnacentral:rRNA from 1 species